rnacentral:rRNA from 1 species
AUACGUAGGUGACAAGCGUUAUCCGGAUUUACUGGGCGUAAAGGGCGUGUAGGCGGUCUUGCAAGUCAGAAGUGAAAUUCCUGAGCUCAACUCGGGCGCUGCUUCUGAAACUGCAGGACUUGAGUGCUGGAGGGGAUAGCGGAAUUCCUAGUGGAGCGGUAAAAUGCGCAGAUAUUAGGAAGAACACCGGUGGCGAAGGCGGCUAUCUGGACAGUAACGAACGCUGAGGCGCGAAAGCAUGGGUAGCGAACAGGAUAGAUCCCCUGGUAGUCCAUGCCGUAAACGGUGGGCGCUAGGUGUAGGGGUCUUCCACGACUUCUGUGCCGUAGCUAACGCAUUAAGCGCCCCGCCUGGGGAGUACGGCCGCAAGGCUGAAACUCAAAGGAAUUGACGGGG